GCUCCAGCCCUCGCUGCUCCAAACAGGAUAAGCAGUAAAGACGAUGGAUGGAUGGAUGGAUGGAUGGAUGGAUGAGUCCCCUCCUUGACAUAAAGUCUUAUAAGAUGGAACCAUUUACAACCAGAGCAGGAAACCAGGCCUCUGAUUCGGAUUGGUCGGUGGCAACGCUGCCAUUGAGCUCGCCCAGUCCCGUUUGCUCCUGGAUGUCAGUCAUCUCCCCG